GCACAAAAGAUAUUUACAAUUACAUUACAUUAGUUCAUAGCUGAAUUUAUCUCUCAAGACAAUAUAUAUAUGGAGAAAGCCGUGCUCAGAUUAACCUUCUUGCUGGUCCUUAUCGCUACUGCUUCAUGUAAGAUUCUCUUUAUUCACAUAUUUUUGUGAUUUAGGGGCAUGUAAUACAGCAUUGUAUUUAUGUUUCCAAAUUCAUGAUGCAAACAUUGUAUAUUUAAAAAGUGAAAAUUUACAGCAAGUGAUAAUCUCUUACUUUAUUGAAGGACCAAAAUUAAAAGCUAAGAAAAACACGCACUCAAAUUAUGUGUGUUAAUUUUAUAUUUUUCUGUUUUUUUUUUUUUUAGUACAAUUCUUAUUAUAUCGGGCCUCUUAUUAAAAAGGGAGUCACUCAUAAGUAAAUGUAAUGUAAUGUUCAGGUUUAGGACAUGGAACCGAAGCAAAGGAAAUGACGAAUGAGGCCAAGCAGGAUGUAGGGCCGAUACCAUGCACUGUUAGCGAUGACUGUGCUAAGUGCCCAUGCAAUGUUGGCCGAUGCGUAGACGGGCUCUGUCAGUGUGAACCAUGCCCUAUUACAAUUCAAAAUUGAGAGUUGAUCACAAACUUUGGAAUAAGAAUUCAUUUUCUCCGUAGCUGUGAGGAAAUCAAAUAAACGUUUCUAUGUACUGUGCAUGUUAAUUACAAUAUAAUAAAAAGUGAGGAAAAUUUAUU
rnacentral:lncRNA from 1 species